AACGAACGCUGGCGGCAUGCCUAACACAUGCAAGUCGAACGAGACCUUCGGGUCUAGUGGCGCACGGGUGCGUAACGCGUGGGAACCUGCCCUUAGGUUCGGAAUAACUCCCCGAAAGGGGUGCUAAUACCGGAUAAUGUCUUCGGACCAAAGAUUUAUCGCCUUUGGAUGGGCCCGCGUUGGAUUAGCUAGUUGGUAGGGUAAAAGCCUACCAAGGCGACGAUCCAUAGCUGGUCUGAGAGGAUGAUCAGCCACACGGGGCAUGAGACACGGCCCAGACUCCAACGGGGGCAGCCAGUGGGAAAGAUGGGCAAAGGGGCAAAGCCCUAGCCCAUCAAUGCGGGGGAAUUGAUUAAUGCCUUAGGGUGUUAAAGCCUUUUUACCCGGGAUAAAAUUAACGUAACCGGGAAAAAAAGCCCCGCCUAACCCCUG
rnacentral:rRNA from 1 species